rnacentral:misc_RNA from 1 species
AAGUCGUAACAAGGUUUCCGUAGGUGAACCUGCGGAAGGAUCAUUACCGAGUGCGGGCCCUCGCGGCCCAACCUCCCACCCUUGUCUCUAUACACCUGUUGCUUUGGCGGGCCCACCGGGGCCACCUGGUCGCCGGGGGACGCACGUCCCCGGGCCCGCGCCCGCCGAAGCGCUCUGUGAACCCUGAUGAAGAUGGGCUGCCUGAGUACUAUGAAAAUUGUCAAAACUUUCAACAAUGGAUCUCUUGGUUCCG